CCUACGGGGCGCAGCAGUGGGGAAUAUUGGACAAUGGGCGAAAGCCUGAUCCAGCCAUGCCGCGUGUGUGAAGAAGGCCUUCGGGUUGUAAAGCACUUUCAGUGGGGAAGAAAGCCUUGGGGCUAAUACCCUCGAGGAAGGACAUCACCCACAGAAGAAGCACCGGCUAACUCCGUGCCAGCAGCCGCGGUAAUACGGAGGGUGCGAGCGUUAAUCGGAAUUACUGGGCGUAAAGCGCGCGUAGGCGGUCUGAUAAGCCGGUUGUGAAAGCCCCGGGCUCAACCUGGGAACGGCAUCCGGAACUGUCAGGCUAGAGUGAAGGAGAGGAAGGUAGAAUUCCCGGUGUAGCGGUGAAAUGCGUAGAGAUCGGGAGGAAUACCAGUGGCGAAGGCGGCCUUCUGGACUGACACUGACGCUGAGGUGCGAAAGCGUGGGUAGCAAACAGGAUUAGAUACCCGAGUAGUC
rnacentral:rRNA from 1 species